GACGAACGCUGGCGGCGUGCCUAAUACAUGCAAGUCGAACGCAGUGGGGACGGGUGAGUAACACGUGGGUAACCUCCCAUCAGAGGGGAUAACACUUGGAAACAGCUGCUAAACCGAUACUGAUUGAUGGACCCGCGGUGCAUUAGCGAGUGGGUGGGGUAACGGCUCACCAAGGCAACGAUGCAUAGCUGGCCUUGGAGGAUGAGCGGCCACACUGGGACUGAGACACGGCCCAGACUCCUACGGUAGGCAGCAGUGGGGAAUCUUCGGCAAUGGGCGAAAGCCUGACCGAGCAACGCCGCGUGAGUGAAGAAGGUCUUCGGAUCGUAAAACUCUGUUGUGAGAGAAGCGGUAUCUAACCAGAAAGCAACGGCUAACUACGUGCCAGCAGCCGCGGUAAUAC
rnacentral:rRNA from 1 species